CGCUUAAGUCAGAUCUAGUUCAUCAAUUUCGUUCCCACCAUCUUCUAUGUCAUGAUCACCUAUAACAAUAAGAAAAACAAAAUUAAAGUUGAACAAUAAAUUACACAACAACAACAACAAAAGUUGGAAAAGAUCAAGUUACAGUAAAUAGGACAGCCUAAACAUUAAACAACCACAAAGCUAUAGCUCCAGUCUGAUAAAGUUAGAUAUUAACACACUGCACUGAACAAGCCGUACGCAUGGUACACAAAUGAAAUGAGUAACUUUACUCGAUAAAAAGAAAUAUUUACUAAAAGCCCAGCAUCAUGAUUGUAACUCAGGGGUUAAAUGCAACAAGUAACAUUAUCUCUCUUCAGAAAAAUAGAAGAGUACCAAUUUUGUGGACUUUGCUUAACACUAACAAUGUACUGUUAUCCAACAAACUAGAGGGUAGCAACUAGCUAGCAAGGGGUUCGCUUAAAUUCUCUUGACAAAAAUUACACUAUAUAUAUAAGGUAACCCUUGCAUAUAAGAUUAGAGAUAACUCAGUGACUUGAGGGAGUUCAAAAGAGUUCAAAUUUCACCGUGAAUUUUUAAAGUCAAAUCUCUAAUUAAGCACACUGCUGAUGCCGACACCUUGGUAAAAAAAAGGUUGGGGACAUUGUGGAAAGACCAACAUAUGGGACCAUAUGUGUAGUAGUAGCUUUUCCUUUUAGCUUUGUCCUAGGCAACCAUCCAUUAGUAAAUUAUGCUGCAAGAGGCAGUAACUAUAAUUUUGGAAAACAGGUAGCCUUUAAAACCACAAAACUAAUUAGAAGGGGAAAUAUUUAAGAAAGAAGAGUACCAAUUUUGAAGAUAGGUGGAGGGUGGAACUAUAAUCAUUGCAAUUGUAAUUGGAAUCUGUCAUGCACAAAAUGACAUUGCAAUUGCAAGUCGUAGUAGUUAUAAUGAUCAAUAUGGUAAGAGAAUGGUUUGAUGUUGUGGUCAAAGCCAUUACCAUAUACGUCCAUAUAUAUCAAGAAUGUCACUCAAUUAUUCACAGACACCUGGUUAAACUCCACAUAUAAACCUUCUAAAGACACCGUAUCCCAACUUAUGUGGAACUUCCACUUCUCAACAAAUAAGUAAAUUGCUCUAAUGUAUUGCAGAGUAUUUAAGAUAAUAGCAAGAAAAGGUUUUUGCUAUUACCUCUUCUAUCAUAAUGUCGACUUUGGUUGACUUGGAUGGUCUUCAACUAUGAUUUUCCUGAGAUAAUCUGGUCCAACAGAGUUAAUAAGAGAGGGGAGAAUGGAAAAAAAAGAAGUAGAACAACAAAAAUCAUUUGGCAGUAAAUUUACCCAACUAUGAUCUUGCAAAUACUACAAGCAAAAAAUGGAGAUUCAAAGAGCUUUAGCCUAGAAAUUAUCCGUGUAUUCAUUUCUUUCCCAAAGCAGAAUGUGCCACAAAUACAAAUUCUUAUACGGAGACUCAGGGAAUCAUCACAUUGCCACUGAAUACCCCAGUAAUCUUCAGUGGCGAGCUU
rnacentral:lncRNA from 1 species